rnacentral:misc_RNA from 1 species
UCCGGUUUGUCACCGGCAGUAUCACUAGAGUGCCCUUGCGUAGCAACUAGUGACAAGGGUUGCGCUCGUUGCGGGACUUAACCCAACAUCUCACGACACGAGCUGACGACAGCCAUGCAGCACCUGUGUCCAGGCUCUCUUUCGAGCACCAAGCCAUCUCUGGCAAGUUCCUGGCAUGUCAAGGGUAGGUAAGGUUUUUCGCGUUGCAUCGAAUUAAUCCACAUCAUCCACCGCUUGUGCGGGUCCCCGUCAAUUCCUUUGAGUUUUAACCUUGCGGCCGUACUCCCCAGGCGGUCGACUUCACGCGUUAGCUACGUUACUCAAGAAGUCACCUUCCCGAACAACUAGUCGACAUCGUUUAGGGCGUGGACUAC